CCUACGGGAGGCAGCAGUGGGGAAUUUUCCGCAAUGGGCGAAAGCCUGACGGAGCAAUACCGCGUGAGGGAUGAAUGCCUAUGGGUUGUAAACCUCUUUUUUCAGGGAGGAACAAAAUGACGUGUACCUGAAGAAUAAGCAUCGGCUAACUCCGUGCCAGCAGCCGCGGUAAU
rnacentral:rRNA from 1 species